rnacentral:sRNA from 1 species
CAGGCUGGGUUCCAGCGUAGGGGUCUUGAUGGGCACGCUGGGGUCGGGUGGAGUGCUGGAGGGAGAGGAGGUGGGACAGGUGGGUACCUGGGCUGGAGGCAGGGCCUGAGGUGGCCAGGUGCAGGGGGCUGCACCUCUCGGCUGAAGCCGGGAAUGAGGACCCCGCUGUCGGGUGGGAUUGGAGGGGACUCGCGGCUGAGGCUCUGGGCUUCGACAGGGACAUCCCCUUUCUCCUCCCCAGGGAGAUGGUGCUUGUCGUGCACGGCUUCCCGUCCUCUGUGGCCGCCCUUCGGGUAAGGAAGGAGACCGGGCAGCGGCGGCCGGGCGAGGGCUUGGGUUCUGCCCCUCGCUCCGAGCCACCCUGACGCCCCUGUACGCCGCCCGCAGUUUGAGUGGGCUUGGCAGCACCCGCACGCCUCGCGCCGCCUGGCGCACGUGGGGCCUCGCCUGCGAGGAGAGACCGCCUUCGCGUUCCACCUGCGCGUGCUGGCGCACAUGCUGCGCUCACCGCCCUGGGCGCGCCUCCCGCUCACGCUGCGCUGGGUGCGCCCAGACCUCCGCCAGGACCUCUGCCUCCCGCCGCCGCCGCACGUGCCCCUGGCCUUCGGGCCUCCACCGCCCCAGGCUCCGGCCCCAAGGCGCCACGCAGGUCCCUUUGAUGACGCGGAGCCUGAGCCAGACCAGGGGGAUCCAGGGGCCUGCUGCUCCCUGUGCGCCCAGACCAUCCAGAAUGAAGAGGGGCCCUUGUGUUGUCCCCACCCUGGCUGCCUGCUAAGGGCCCACGUGAUCUGCCUGGCAGAGGAGUUUCUUCAGGAAGAACCAGGGCAGCUUCUGCCCCUAGAGGGCCAAUGCCCUUGCUGUGAGAAGUCACUGCUUUGGGGAGACCUGAUCUGGCUGUGCCAGAUGGACACUGAGAAAGAAGUAGAAGACUCAGAAUUCGAAGAGAAACAUGGAGCUGAUCCAGGACACCUCCCGCCCACCACUGGAGUAUGUGAAGGGGGUCCCGCUCAUCAAGUACUUUGCAGAGGCACUGGGGCCCCUGCAGAGCUUCCAAGCCCAGCCUGAUGACCUGCUCAUCAACACCUACCCCAAGUCCGGCACCACCUGGGUGAGCCAGAUACUGGACAUGAUCUACCAGGGCGGCGACCUAGAGAAGUGUAACCGGGCUCCCAUCUACAUACGGGUGCCCUUCCUUGAGGUCAAUGAUCCAGGGGAUCCCUCAGGGCUGGAGACUCUGAAAGACACACCUCCCCCACGGCUCAUCAAGUCACACCUGCCCCUGGCCCUGCUCCCCCAGACUCUGUUGGAUCAGAAGGUCAAGGUGGUCUAUGUUGCCCGAAACCCAAAGGACGUGGCGGUUUCCUACUACCAUUUCCACCGUAUGGAAAAGACGCACCCUGAGCCUGGGACCUGGGACAGCUUCCUGGAGAAGUUCAUGGCCGGAGAAGUGUCCUACGGGUCCUGGUACCAGCACGUGCAGGAGUGGUGGGAGCUGAGCCGCACCCACCCUGUUCUCUACCUCUUCUAUGAAGACAUGAAGGAGAACCCCAAAAGGGAGAUUCAAAAGAUCCUGGAGUUUUUGGGGCACUCUCUGCCAGAGGAGACCGUGGACUUCAUGGUUCAGCACACGUCGUUCAAGGAGAUGAAGAAGAACCCUAUGACCAACUACACCACCGUCCCCCGGGAGUUCAUGGACCACAGCAUCUCCCCCUUCAUGAGGAAAGGCAUGGCUGGGGACUGGAAGACCACCUUCACCGUGGCGCAGAAUGAGCGCUUCGAUGCGGACUAUGCGGAGAAGAUGGCAGGCUGCAGCCUCAGCUUCCGCUCUGAGCUGUGAGAGGGGCUCCCGGGGUCACUCCAGAGGGAGUGUGCGAAUCAAGCCUGACCAAUGGGCUCAAGAAUAAAGUAUGAUUUUUGAGUCAGGCACAGUGGCUCAUGUCUGCAAUACCAGCGAUUUGGGAGGUUGAGCUGGUAGGAUCACAAUAGGCCACGAAUUUGAGACCAGCCUGGUAAAGUAGUGAGACCUCAUCUCUACAAAGAUGUAAAAAAAUUAGCCACAUGUGCUGGCACUUACCUGUAGUCCCAGCUACUUGGGAAGCAGAGGCUGGAGGAUCAUUUCAGCCCAGGAGGUUGUGGAUACAGUGAGUUAUGACAUGCCCAUUCACUACAGCCUGGAUGACAAGCAAGACCCUCCCUCCAAAGAAAAUAAAGCUCAAUUAAAAUAAAA